GAUGAACGCUGGCGGCGUGCCUAAUACAUGCAAGUCGAGCGAACGGACGAGAAGCUUGCUUCUCUGAUGUUAGCGGCGGACGGGUGAGUAACACGUGGAUAACCUACCUAUAAGACUGGGAUAACUUCGGGAAACCGGAGCUAAUACCGGAUAAUAUUUUGAACCGCAUGGUUCAAAAGUGAAAGACGGUCUUGCUGUCACUUAUAGAUGGAUCCGCGCUGCAUUAGCUAGUUGGUAAGGUAACGGCUUACCAAGGCAACGAUGCAUAGCCGACCUGAGAGGGUGAUCGGCCACACUGGAACUGGGACACGGUCCAGACUCCUACGGGAGGCAGCAGUAGGGAAUCUUCCGCAAUGGGCGAAAGCCUGAAGGAGCAACGCCGCGUGAGUGAUGAAGGUCUUCGGAUCGUAAAACUCUGUUAUUAGGGAAGAACAUAUGUGUAAGUAACUGUGCACAUCUUGACGGUACAUAAUCAGAAAGCCACGGCUAACUACGUG
rnacentral:rRNA from 1 species